AUUUGUUUCCUUUUCUGCCUCAGGAGCAGCAUAUCAUGAAAUUCUUACUUUAUAUUCUUUGGUCUGUUCUGUUCGGAUUGUAGAACGUCAUGUAAUAACGAUUUGUCUCGGUGCAGGGGUUGAAGAGAAUGGCGGCAUUGGAUGAGAACACAGCUGAAUGUGCGGGUCGAGGGACAUUUUAUGCCAACUACGAAUCAGCCUAAGAUCCAUGCUCAAGAGUCCGCGCAAGCCAUCUGUAGGAGAAAGGUCCUCAAUCCGCCGGCCGGCAGUACUUGCAGUUGAAGAAUAUCCAGACCUCCAAUAAUGCUGCCCUGGGAACUACGCCAGGCAGCCUCCUCGUGAUACCAUUGGACCACCUACAUGAGGAGGCGAACGUCCUUCCCGUACGUCAGCAAUAUCAUAGACAGAAAAGGAAAAAAUACGAACAUUUAUGCGCUGAGAUGGUAGCCGCUGGCUGAAACAAAGAUGUUGUUGUUUCGGAUCAGUCCGGAACAGUUGAAUCCGCCGCCGUUGCUAUUUUUAUUUGGUCUGGAAACCGUCUGUUACUUUUUGAUAGACAACUUAGCCUGGCAUAUUCAAUAAAUUUUUUAAAUUUGUGACGUUUAAUCAAAUCCACAUUUUUAAAUUUUAUUUACUUUACUCUAUUAACGUUACCUAAACAUACUUAAUGGAUUAUAUUGGGGUGCAAAAGUUCCGUUUUUUACAUAUAAUUUCAUACGUCGAAAUGUGACUCUCCGUAGUAAGAAUUUUAUACCAUACUUCUCUUUGGAGGAUAUUCGUAUCAAGGCAUUUGAAGUCUAUCUUUAUGGACUUUAUUAUAAGUGAAUCUUUAUCUUCACUAAUAAUUUUUCCACAGAGAUACUUUUGAUAUAACGAAGUUACCAAUAAAGAAUAUUUCGGAGUUCCCAUUUUCCUUCACGGAAAAUGAGAUGUAUCGGUCCACAAUUUGGUAUAGUCCCCAUAUAACGGUACUUCUCGAUUUUUUGUUGAUUUUUGACACAUUUUUCAACGUAUUUGUGGUAUUGGUAGAUCAUACUGGUUCCAGCUCGUAUGGCGAAUCAUUGUAUGUAUAGGUCCAUGUUUUGGUAUAGCCCUCAUACAAGGGUACCUCCCGAUAUUCGGUAUUUUGCUGAUUUUUGCCACUUUUUUUUAACGAAUUUGUCUAAAAAAUUGAAAUGUUUGGCCAUGAUGGGUUCUAGCUCCGGUGGCGAAACAUUGUAUGUAUAGGCUCACGUUUUGGUAUAGCCGCCAAAUAACGGUACCUCCCGAUAUUUGGUAUUUUGCUGAUUUUUGCCACAUGUUCCCACGAAUUUGCCUAAAUGUUGGUAUUUGUGGGUCAUAAUGGGUUAUAGCUUGUAUGGCGAUACAUUAUAUGUAUAGGUCCACGUUUCGGUGUAGCCCCCAUGUAACGGUAGCUCCCGAUAUUCGGGGUUUUGAUGAUUUUUACAGAUUUUUUAAGGGAUUUGUCCAGAAAUUGAUAUUUGUAGUUCGUAAUGGGUUGUAGCUCGUAUGCCGAAACAUUGUACGUCCACGUUUUGGUAUAGCCCCCAUAGAACAGUACCUGUCUAUAUUCGAUAUUCUGAUGAAAAUUGAUAUUUUUAUACACUCUACCAUAGUAUGGAGGGUAUAUUAAGUUUGUCAUUCCGUUUGUAACACCACGAAAUACACAUUUUAGACCCCAUAAAGUAUAUAUAUUCUUGAUCAGCAUAAAAUUCUAUGCCGAUUUAGCGAUGCCAGUCUGUCUAUCCCUCUGUGGAAAUUACUUUAGCUUUCGAACGAAUUGAAGAAGAUUGAUAAAAUUUUACACAAGUGUAUGUUAUGUCUGCAGGACUUUUGGUAUUGAAAAUUGGCCAUGCUGGCCCACAUUUCAGUAUAGGCCCCAUUUAACGGUACCUCCCGAUAUUCGGUAUUUUGAUGACUUUAGCGACAUUAUUUAUCGGAAUUCUUUCAAAUUUCGUAUCUAAAGUUCGUAAAGUAUACUGCAGCCUAAGACAGAAAAUAGUUUGUGCAGGUCCACAUCUUCAUGUAGCCCCAAUAUAACGGUACCUCUCGAUAUUCGGUAUUUUGAUGAUUUUAUUUACAUUAUUACCAAUUUUUUGAAGUUUCGCAUUUGAAUAUUAUCUGGCUUAUGACAAACAUUACGUAUGCAGGUCCAUGUCGUCAUAUAGACCCUAAUAUAACAUCUACAUUUGGUAUUUUAAAGACUUUAACAGAAUUUUUAACGGAUUUUGUUGUUUUUGAGAAUUGCCAAAUUCAUUCCAAAUGGUGGAGGGUAUUCAAAGUUCGGCCCGCCGAACUUACAGCUUUUUUAUUUAUUUUUUGUUACAAUAUUAGUAGGUAAUGAUGUGGACUGUUUUUUGAACAGUAAAAUUGUAUUGAAUGAGAAUUAAUUCAGUGGAAUUAUAUUAGUGUUUAUCGAUCGUGUAGACGAUAACGUAAUUUUUGUCUCUUGCACUAUUAUGAAAAGGACAUAAUUGGGUUGCGGUUGAGUGAUGGAUUCUAUAUUCCCAAUGUCGUGGAAUUAACAUGAUACUACAAGCUGUUUACAAGCUUACAAAAGCAUUUUGGUGAGAAUUUUCCAGAAAAAAGUUAUUCGUGAUGGUAUUCAAGCGUGAUAGUGUGAUUCCUUUAAAUUUGGCUGGAAAACCACAAGUAGUUAUCGUUAGAGCACUCCAGCAUUUAAAUGUGAAUAAAACUUUUGUGUCUCGUAAUAUCGCUCGUUAUUGUGAUACUGGUAGCGUAGCCCGACGUCAAGGAAAUGGACGCAAGAAAACACCAAAAUCAGCAGAAAUUGUUUGAAAAGUAAAGAAACGACUUGAUCGAAAACGGCGUCGCGGUGGCCGAAAAAUGGCUCGUGAGCUGAACAUAUCGCAAUAUACCAUUCGGCAAAUAUAAAAAAAAAAGAGCUGGGGGUAAAGCCAUUGAAAUUCCAAAAAGUGCAAGAACUUUCUCCGCCGCCGAAGGUGCACUCAGCACGCGCCAACCAAGAAUGGUUACAAAAUGAGGUUCCUCGCUACAUUUCCAGCGCAUAAUGGCCACCAAAAUCUCCAGAUACCCAUCCGUUGAACUAUUGUGUCUGGAGUAUUUUGGAAUGUAAGGUUUGCACUAAAAAAUACCAAAGCGUCGAUCACCUCAAGCAAGCUCUUCGCCGGGAAUGGACUAAAAUACCGCAGUGCAACAUUCGGCAGCGUGUGACGGUUUUAUUGACCGUUUGGAGGCCAUAAUCUGUACAAAAGGUGACCAAUUUGAACAAAUCUAAACUUAUUCUAAAAUUUGUUGCUAUUUUCGACAAUUCUGGCUUUUAUUCAAUAAAAUUUAAAAAAAUGUAAAAUUUA